GAUGAACGCUGGCGGCGUGCCUAAUACAUGCAAGUCGAGCGAACAGAUGAGGAGCUUGCUCCUCUGACGUUAUCGGCGGACGGGUGAGUAACACGUGGAUAACCUACCUAUAAGACUGGGAUAACUUCGGGAAACCGGAGCUAAUACCGGAUAAUAUAUUGAACCGCAUGGUUCAAUAGUGAAAGACGGUUUUGCUGUCACUUAUAGAUGGAUCCGCGCCGCAUUAGCUAGUUGGUAAGGUAACGGCUUACCAAGGCAACGAUGCGUAGCCGACCUGAGAGGGUGAUCGGCCACACUGGAACUGAGACACGGUCCAGACUCCUACGGGAGGCAGCAGUAGGGAAUCUUCCGCAAUGGGCGAAAGCCUGACGGAGCAACGCCGCGUGAGUGAUGAAGGUCUUCGGAUCGUAAAACUCUGUUAUUAGGGAAGAACAAAUGUGUAAGUAACUAUGCACGUCUUGACGGUACCUAAUCAGAAAGCCACGGCUAACUACGUG
rnacentral:rRNA from 1 species